rnacentral:rRNA from 1 species
GAUGAACGCUGGCGGCGUGCCUAAUACAUGCAAGUCGAGCGAACGGACGAGAAGCUUGCUUCUCUGAUGUUAGCGGCGGACGGGUGAGUAACACGUGGAUAACCUACCUAUAAGACUGGGAUAACUUCGGGAAACCGGAGCUAAUACCGGAUAAUAUUUUGAACCGCAUGGUUCAAAAGUGAAAGACGGUCUUGCUGUCACUUAUAGAUGGAUCCGCGCUGCAUUAGCUAGUUGGUAAGGUAACGGCUUACCAAGGCAACGAAGCAUAGCCGACCUGAGAGGGUGGCCGCCCACACGGGAACUGGACCACGGUCAAGACUCCUACGGGAGGCGGCAGUAGGGACUCUUCCGCAAUGGGGGAAAGCCUGACGGAGCACCGCCGCGUGAGUAAUGAAGGUCUUGGGAUCGUAAAACUCUGUUAUUAGGGAAAAACAUAUGUGUAAGUAACUGUGCACAUCUUGACGGUACCUAAUAAGAAAGCCACGGCUAACUACGUG